UGCGUAGGAAGCUGCCCGAUAGAGGGGGAUACCAGUUGGAAACGACUGUUAAUACCGCAUAAUGUCUACGGACCAAAGUGUGGGACCUUCGGGCCACAUGCUAUCGGAUGCGCCUACGUGGGAUUAGCUAGUUGGUGGGGUAAUGGCUCACCAAGGCGACGAUCCCUAGCUGGUUUGAGAGGAUGAUCAGCCACACUGGGACUGAGACACGGCCCAGACUCCUACGGGAGGCAGCAGUGGGGAAUAUUGGACAAUGGGCGCAAGCCUGAUCCAGCCAUGCCGCGUGUGUGAAGAAGGCCU
rnacentral:rRNA from 1 species